rnacentral:misc_RNA from 1 species
AUCUUUUUUUUAUUAUUUAUCAUUUAAAAAAUAUACAAUUCAAGGUGUGGGUUUUAAAUACAAACGAUCGCGAAACCUCGCUGACGCUCGGUCCGCCAAAUCAGUAAUGAUCCUUCCGCAGGUUCACCUACGGAAA